AGAAGAAUUUUAACUUUUAAC
rnacentral:snRNA from 1 species